UUUAGUAACGGCGAGUGAAACAGGAGAAGCUCAGCGUGUAGCCACGAGGAUGCUCUGUCUUGCAGUAAGCUAAUCCUACGUUGGGAUGCCACGUUUGGGAAAGUAUCGUUUGAGAGUCACCUACCCAGCAAUCCGAACUGUUUGAUGGAAAUAAUGACCGUAGAGGGUGAGAGUCCCGUAGGACUGACAUAAAAGAGGUAGGACUCGAUAUUGAUAUUUUCUCUCGAGUCAGGUUAUUUGAGAGUAUAGCCUAAAGAGGUGGUAAACUCCAUCUAAAGCUAAAUAUUACUGUGAGACCGAUAGCGAACAAGUACCGUGAGGGAAAGUUGAAAAGAACUCUGAAGAGAGAGUUCAAAGAACGUGAAACUGCUACGGGCAUAAAGCGGAUACUUAUAGCGUUGUCAAAAUGGUAGAUACAUUACGGUUUUGUACGCCGGUUCGUCGUUCCGUUAAAAUGUUACGCGAAGUCCCGGGAAUCGCGAGUGAACUCUCGCGAAACUCACUUCGUAAACGAACGGAACGAAAUAUUAGAACCGUACGAACGUAUGUAAAUCUUUCCAUAGAAGACGAUCGUACGAAUUGUCGAGUCGUCGGAGGCUCGAGUGUCUGUCGUUGAAAGGGAUACUCGAUAUUCGAGCGCGUUUUACGACCUUUCGCGGGGUCGUCGAAGCGCUAACUCGAAAUUGAGUUGACGCAUUCUUGAAAUUACUGGCGGACUCGACGAUUCGAAUGUGUAUAUGAAUCGAUUUAUAUCGAUUCAUUUACGAUAUCGUAAAUGCGCAUAGAUCUAUCCGUCCCGUCUUGAAACACGGACCAAGAAGUCUAACAAAUACGCGAGUCGAAAGGUCUCUCUAAACCUGAAAGGCGUAAUGAAAGUAAACUAAGGAUUGAUCCGAUUCCGUAAAAAAGGAAGGAAUUGGCGCAAAUCCGGGGGCCGUUAAAAACCAAA
rnacentral:rRNA from 1 species